rnacentral:rRNA from 1 species
GACAGAGGUGCCAAGCGUUAGGCGGAAUCACUGGGCUUAAAGCGUGUGUAGGCGGGCGAUCAAGUACCUUGUGAAAUCCCACGGCUCAACCGUGGAACUGCUGGGUAUACUGGUUGUCUUGAGCCAGCUAGGGGCGAGCGGAACAGACGGUGGAGCGGUGAAAUGCGUAGAUAUUGGGAAGAACACCGGUGGCGAAGGCGGCUCACUGGCUCAUUUCUGACGCUCAGGCGCGACAGCGUGGGGAUCAAACAGG